CCAUACGUGUAUCCAUGUGCAUGCCUGUGGUGUGUACUUAUGUGCAUGUUUGUGUCUUGCCUCCACCUUAGCUGUGCUCCACUACAGAGCUGUGCUUCUCUACAGAGCUCCCAGAGAAAUCUUUCUAGAAAGCAAAUCUAAUCAUGUCAAACCCCAUUAGGACAGCUCCAGUGACCCCAUCACUGCCAGCAUGAAGUCCUCACUCCUUGUCACAGCAAACAGACCCACUGUGCAUCCAUUGCUCUGUGAGCAGCAGCCACCACUCUUGACUGCAAUGAAGUGAGAGUUGACUGACUAUGGGCUGGGCGUUUCAGCUCUUUGACCUCAUGACGCCAUGUGUUUUCUCAAAGAUUACAGAAGCACUGUGCUUCUCAAUUCUGUAUCCAGAGCUCAGCUGUGGCAAAUGGCCUUGUUUCACCAACUUUACCAUAUUGUUUCUGGCUGUACAGGCACGGCCCUAUUCCAGAAUCAUCCUUCCACCGGCUGCUCCGGGCAAGAGUUCUUCAGCCAUGCUAGUGCCGCAUGGUCCCCACGUGGGCUCCAGCACAGAAGCCGUCCUGCAGAAAGCACAUUACGUUGCAUCAGACCCUAUUCCAUUAUUGAUUGGGUGGUAAUCAUGCAUUGGUAACAUGUUUUAUUUCCGUUCUGUGUCCCAACUGACAUAUGG
rnacentral:lncRNA from 10 species